rnacentral:rRNA from 1 species
UACGUAGGGCGCAAGCGUUGUCCGGAAUUAUUGGGCGUAAAGAGCUCGUAGGCGGCUUGUUGCGUCGGUUGUGAAAGCCCGGGGCUUAACUCCGGGUCUGCAGUCGAUACGGGCAGGCUAGAGUUCGGUAGGGGAGAUCGGAAUUCCUGGUGUAGCGGUGAAAUGCGCAGAUAUCGGGAAGAACACCCGUGGCGAAGGCGGCUCUCUGGGACGGUACUGACGCUGAGACGCGAAAGCGUGGGGAGCGAACAGG